rnacentral:rRNA from 1 species
CCUACGGGAGGCAGCAGUGAGGAAUAUUGGUCAAUGGACGAGAGUCUGAACCAGCCAAGUAGCGUGAAGGAUGACUGCCCUAUGGGUUGUAAACUUCUUUUAUAUGGGAAUAAAACAGGGCAUGCAUACCCUCUUGUAUGUACCAUAUGAAUAAGGAUCGGCUAACUCCGUGCCAGCAGCCGCGGUAAUACGGAGGAUCCGAGCGUUAUCCGGAUUUAUUGGGUUUAAAGGGAGCGUAGGUGGAUUGUUAAGUAAGUUGUGAAAGUGUGCGGCUCAACCGUGGAACUGCCGUUGAAACUGGCAGUCUUGAGUACGCGAGAGGUAUGCGGAAUUCGUGGUGUAGCGGUGAAAUGCUUAGAUAUCACGAAGAACUCCGAUUGCGAAGGCAGCACACUGGAGUGCUACUGACGCUGAUGCUCGAAAGUGUGGGUAUCAAACAGGAUUAGAUACCCUAGUAGUC